rnacentral:lncRNA from 1 species
GUGAACAAUUACGUUUUAUAUUUUCUUCCCAUUUAUGUGGCCAUAAAGAUGAGAUACCUGUCCUGUCUGAAGAGGGAGAAGAGGAAGAAGAGACUUAUUCUCAAAAAGUGGAGUCCGUGGAUAAAGUGCGAGCUAAGCAUGUGUCACUGAGAACCGAAUCUCUAGGCCAACCUCUAAACAGAGAGGAUGAAGAAACGGACAAAGAGAUUUCAGAAAAACUCCCUUCCAAAAGAACUGUGAAGCACAUCAUGGAAAAGAUGCAUCUCCACAUGCUCUGUACCCCUCUUCCCGAGGAGUUCCUGGACCAAAACGUGGUGUUUUUCCUCAGAAAUACCAAAGGUACAUUUCUGGCACGUGUGUGUGUAUGUGUGUUGAGGGGGUGUGGUUGUGCAUGCACUUGUUCACUCUCAUUCUGUUGUCUUUUUAUGGUUAUCUUUCACCUAUGCCAAGCUCUCUUUCUUUUCCAUACUGUACUGGGUUCUUACAUAGUCUUCUCAAAGCUAAUUUCCAGUAAAGAAGUGUUAGAGAUAAA